rnacentral:tRNA from 1 species
AUUAUAUUAGUUUAAUUAAAAUUUUAUUUUGUGAUAAUAAGGAUCUUCUAAGAUAUAAUA